rnacentral:rRNA from 1 species
ACUGAGACACGGACCAUACACCUACGGGUGGCUGCAGUCGAGAAUCUUCCACAAUGGACGAAAGUCUGAUGGAGCGACGCCGCGUGAUUGAUGAAGUCCCUCUGGGACGUAAAGAUCUUUUAUGAGGGAAGAAGUUUAUUGACGGUACCUCAUGAAUAAGAGGCUCCCAAUCUCGUGCCAGCAGGAGCGGUAAUACGAGAGCCUCGAGCGUUAUCCGGAAUUAUUGGGCGUAAAGGGUGCGUAGGUUGUUCUGUUAGUCUUUUGUCAAAUUCCCGAGCUUAACUUGGGACCCGCAAAAGAAACGGCAGGACUUGAAAGUGUGAGAGGCGUACGGAACUCAUGGUGUAGGGGUGAAAUCCGUUGAUAUCAUGGGGAACACCAAAUGCGAAGGCAGUACGCUGGCGCAUAUUUGACACUGAAGCACGAAAGCGUGGGUAGCGAAUGGGAUCAAUCUGGUCCCUUCCGAUAGUGAUAUCGGAAUGAGAAUUUGGCUAUAUGCUGGAAUAUCUGUGUAUCUUCUACUACACAAUCUGCAAAGAUUGUGUGAUAAUGUAUGAAGUGCAGACAAUCAGCAGGGAAGGCUUGCAAAAUUGAAAGAGGGAAAAUUUCCGUCGUCCAAGAACCCGAAAGAGGGUAGGACCCUACAGAGGUGCUAGAGGUGUGUUAUGACCCCUUGCGGGUAUCGGCAUUACCUGCCAGUGGGAUAAUUGCCACUGGUAAUCACCAUGUACAAUGUGGAGUAAGUUGGGGUAUGGAUUUGACUCGAGUUAACCCCAAAUGAGUCUCCACCGGAUUUAUCUUUGACGAAGCGAAAGUUUCGUCGUCGGGUAAAGAAGUUGAAAAACUAUCUUUACCCUCUCUUUCAAUUUUGUAAGAACCCUCAGAGACUACACGCCAAAUAUCUUAAAAUAAUUUUUUAAGAUAAUGAUAUAGUCCGACCUUUAUGGCGACAUAAAGAUCUAUUGUAAUACUGGGUACAAAUAGUCUUCGAAAGAAGUAACAAGUAUGUAGAUACCCCAGUAGUCCACGCCCUAAACGAUGAUCUCUCGGUUUUCGGAGUAUCGACCCUCUGAGAGCCUUAGCUAACGCGUUAAGAGAUCCGCCUGGGAAGUACGGCCGCAAGGCUAAAACUCAAAGGAAUAGACGGGGACUUGCACAAGCAGUGGAUUAUGUGGUUUAAUUCGAUGGUAAACGAAGAACCUUACCAGGGUUAGAAAUCCUAGUGAAAAUCCUCGGAAACGAGGACCCUCGCAAGACUCUAGGACAGGUGAUGCAUGGCCGUCGUCAGUUCGUGGUUUGAAUUGUACCCUUAAGUGGGCUAACGAACGCAACCCUCGUUGUGUGUUACAAGUGUCACACGAGACCGCCCGUCCCAGUGCCGAGGUUGACUUGUUUGGAACGCGUCCCAGUACCGAUAUUGAAUUUCAAUUUCGGCAAUGGGAUUUGCUUUUAGACGCGUCAACGUCGGUAGCGGGACGGGAGGAAGGAGAGGAUGACGCCAGGUCAGCAUGUCCCUUUGAUAUCCUGGGCUACACACAUAAUACAAUGGCGACUACAACGCGUAGCGACGGGGCGACCCUGAGCUAAUCGUCCAAAAGUGGCCUCGGUUCGGAUUGAAGUCUGCAACUCGACUUCAUGAAGCUGGAAUUGCUAGUAAUCGCAGGUCAGCUAAACUGCGGUGAAUACGUUCUCAAGUCUUGUACUCAC